ACUUUAAUUUUAUAGGGAACGCUCCACCGAUUCAAAACUUAGAAGAUAUCUCUAAUAUAAAAGAUAGUAUACAACAAAUGUUGCGUAUGCAAGCA